AAACAUGUUUGUUUGAAGUUAUAAAGAAUCUGACCUGCCCCCUGAAUAAUAGGUUAAAGGGCCGCAGUAUUAUAACUGUGCAAAGGUAGCAUAAUCAUUAGGUUUUUAAUUGAAAUCUUGUAUGAAUGGUUGGACAAGAGAGAAUCUCUCUUUAUAUUAAAAUUUGAAUUUAACUUUUAAGUGAAAAGGCUUAAAUAUUCUAGAGGGACGAUAAGACCCUAUAAAACUUUACAUUGUAAUUUUAUUUUAGUUAAAUUUAUAAAUAAAGAUUUAAUAAGAUUAUUUGUUGUGUUGGGGAGACAUAAGUAAAAUAUUGUUUUAACUGCUUUAUAAAUAAUACAAUUAUUAAUGUGCAGGUGGGAGAUCCUUUUUAAAGAUUAAUAGAUUAAGUUACUUUAGGGAUAACAGCGUAAUUUCUUUUGAGAGUUCUUAUCGAAAAAGAAGAUUGCGACCUCGAUGUUGAAUUAAAAGUAUCUGUAUAAUGUAGGAGUUAUAUAAGAAGGUCUGUUCGACCUUAAAAAUUUUACAUGAUUUGAGUUCAAACCGGUGUAAGCCAGGUUGG
rnacentral:rRNA from 1 species